UUUAGAGAUGGUAAGCACUUCCAAAUUUGGUUUUUUUUAUUUGUGUGUGUCAGAAGCAACUUGAGAAACUGCAAGUCACUUCUGGUGUGAGAGAAUUGGCCGUUUGCAAGGUCAUUGCCCAGGGACACCUGGAUGUUUUACCAUCCUAUGGGAGGCUUCUCUCAUGUCCCUGCAUGGGAAGCUGGAGCUGAAAGAUGGGAGCUCACCCUGCUCCCCAGAUUCGAACAGCAAACCUUUCAGUCAGCUGUCCUGCUGGCACAAGGGUUUAACCCAGGGGUCCUUAAACAUUUUAAACAGAGGGCCAGGUCACAGUCCCUCAAACUGUUGGAGGGCCGGAUUAUAAUGUGCAAAAAACAUGAAUGAAUUCCUAUGUACACUGCACAUAUUUUAUUUGUAGCACAAAAAACACUUAAAAACAAUACAAUAAUUAAAAUGAAGAACAAUUUCAACAAAUAUAAAAUUAUUGGUAUUUCAAUGGGAGGUGUGGGCCUACUUUUGGCUGAUGAGAUAGGAUUGUUGUUAUUGUUGUGUGCUUUCAAGUCGUUUCAGAUUUAGGUUGACCCUGAGCGAGGGCCAGGUAAAUGACCUUGGAGGGCCGUAUCCGGGCCCUGGGCCUUACUUUGAGGACCCCUGGUUUAACCCAUUGUACCACCGGGGGCUCAACUGGUUAAAUCCUUCCGAAGUUAUAGGUAAAGGUUGUCCCCUGACAUUACGUCCAGUCGUGCUUAGAGGUUGGUGCUUUUCUCCAUUUCUAAGCUGAAGAGCCAGCGUUGUCUGUAGACACCUCCAAGGUCAUGACUGCAUGGAGCGCCAUUACCUUCCCGACAGCGCGGUACUUACUGAUCUACUCACAUUUGCAUGUUUUCGAACUGAUAGGUUAACAGAAGCUGGGGCUGACAGAAGAAGCCCAUGCCGCUCCCUGGAUUCGAACCUGCGACCUUUUGGUCAACAAGCUCAGCAGCUCAGCGGUUUAACCCACUGUGCCACUAGGGGCCCAAAGUUAUAUGGGGUCUUUAUUCACUACACAAGAUUUCAUUCUUUUCUUCAGUUGCUAUUCAAAAUGAUAACUUUGCCACAGAGUCCUGGUCUUGGUUUCAGAAAACAUGGCCUACGGUCAAGAGAUGAUGAAGAAUGUUUUGCAAGGUUUCAGUGGACAAGACACAGGUCAUCAUGCAAGUUCUGAACUAGUCAAGGAAAUCCUGAUACUGGGAUCCAUAGACACCAUCUAGCACUCAACCAGAAAGCAGCAUAGCCCAGAAUGUCUUCCAGGUGAUCGCAAUGAUCAAUGCCUGCAUCUCACUGAUUUAAAGAGCUUUUGCUUCCACUAUGCCUGAGGGUCCUGCCAUCUCUAUCUCCUUCAGCACCAGCAGUUAUUUGCAGCAAUGCCACAUAAAAAUCAGUGUCAUCCUUCAUGAGCUGUGAUGAAUUCGCAAAGUUUUGCCUUGGUCAAGGACUGCUUCAGAAGAUAGUUGAGCACAUUUUGCUCAAGAGAUGUUAGCAAGCAGCAAGGGCCGUGCCCUUUGUCCAAAUGUCUACUGCAUAUCCUAUCCCAAGAUAUUCUCCUCUAUUGCAGGAAAAAUGAACAUUGAGGCUUACUGAGAAUUUUUUUUUUUUUUGUAGUGGUUGACGAUGAUGUUAUUUCUCCUUGAUGAUUGAGGUCCAGCAGUUAAUGGCUAUCAAACAGAGCAUAUCUGUAAACUAAUGCUGGUGAUACAUUUUGGUAGUUUUCAGUAUUUUUUGAAGCAAGUUAUAAAUAAAUAAAACUUUAUUUAUAUACCCCUCUAUCUCGCCUAGAGGACUCAGGGUGGUUUCCAUGUAACAAAACACCAAAACAUACAGAGUAUGCAAACCAUAAGCAUAAAAUUAUCACAACAACGCAUAUACAUUAAAAACCAAUCUUACCCUAUUCUUUCAUGCAAAAUUAUUGUUCGGGCCAGGAUUUCAGAAUGGAUCUAGGCAAAUUAAGGCGGCCAGUCCAAGGCCAGUGCAGGGAAGACAUGAGGGGGACAGGGGAAUGGGUAAAGUGCAAUAACCGGUCCCAACAACAGUAAUACUGGGGCCUGUGGCUGCUCAAUUCCAGGGCCUAUUGGGAAACACCCAAGCCUUCAAGCUCUUACGAAAAGAGGAGAGGGAUGGGGCCUGUCUUAUUUCCCUUGGGAAGGUGUUCCAGAGGUGGGGGGCCACCACCAAAAAGGCCCUCUCUCUCGUCCUCACCAAUCAUGCUUGUGACAGUGGUGGGAGCUAGAGAAGGUCCUCCCUGGUAUAUCUUAAGAGUUCGCGCACCUCCUGCCCCCGUGGCCGUAAUCAAGCCCAACACCUUCCAAUAUGCUUAAAGAUGGGGAAAGCUGAUAUAUAUCUCUUAUCUAUGUAUAAUUGUUUGUCUAGUUGUGUAUAAAAUGGCAUUGAAUGUUUGUUACGUAUGUAUGUCCUGCGAUUCGCCCUGAGUCCCCUUCAGGGUGAGAAGGGCAGAAUAUAAAUACUGUAAAUAAAUAAAUACUACU